rnacentral:lncRNA from 1 species
UACUGUCUACAUAAAUAAAUCUCAAAAGAUCAACAUAACUGCAAGAUCGAUCUUCAGAAAUUACAAAUGGUAGCUUCAUCAAUCAAUUGUUGCCUCAAAGCACCGGCGAAUUUCCGGGAAAUUCCUGCAACCAUCAUCAACAAAACGUCUCAUUCAUCAUGGUAAAACCGAAACUUAACUGAAUUGGUCAAUAUUGAUUGAAAUUUCACCUACCCUUCCCGGCGAGCUCCCACUGAUUCUUCUACUUCUAGGUCAAUGGUCAAAGCCAAGGCCAAGGAUGAUGGAAACUGGACUCGUCGGAGUUUGACUACCGCAGC